rnacentral:rRNA from 1 species
GAUCAUGGCUCAGGAUGAACGCUAGCGACAGGCUUAACACAUGCAAGUCGAGGGGCAGCAUAAAAGUAGCAAUACUUGGUGGCGACCGGCGCACGGGUGAGUAACGCGUAUGCAACCUACCUAUCAGAGGGGAAUAACCCGGCGAAAGUCGGACUAAUACCGCAUAAAACAGGGGCACCGCAUGGUGAUAUUGUUAAAGAAAUUCGCUGAUAGAUGGGCAUGCGUUCCAUUAGGUAGUUGGUGAGGUAACGGCUCACCAAGCCGACGAUGGAUAGGGGAACUGAGAGGUUGGUCCCCCACACUGGUACUGAGACACGGACCAGACUCCUACGGGAGGCAGCAGUGAGGAAUAUUGGUCAAUGGGCGGGAGCCUGAACCAGCCAAGUCGCGUGAGGGAAGAAGGAUCUAUGGUUCGUAAACUUCUUUGCAGGGGAAUAAAGUGCAGGACGUGUCCUGUUUUGUAUGUACCCUGAGAAUAAGGAUCGGCUAACUCCGUGCCAGCCGCGGC